AUGCACAAAUAUGUAUUUCAUGGCACAAUUACCAGUUUUGUGUGCCAAUUUUCUGCAUUCCACUAUGCAAAGGUGCAUUAUAUCUCUCUACAUGAUGCAAGAUGCUUAUGCUUAUAUAGGCGGUGGCAUCUUAUGGGAAGGGAGCGGAGAAAGGGGAAUGAGGUGUUGUCGAGUGGGCGGGGUCUUUCUGCAGUCGCCUUAAGUUCCACAUCUACACACCAGUCGCCAUGGCUUGUCAGCCGCGAUGAAAAAAGUCAGGAUCCCAAGAAAAGUGCUUCUAGACACUAUGAUGGAGAAGCUUGGCCUUCCGAACGCAGUAUACUCAACACAGAAGGCAAGGACUGUUGGUCUUGA
rnacentral:rRNA from 1 species